rnacentral:rRNA from 1 species
ACGCUGGCGGCGUGGAUUAGGCAUGCAAGUCGAACGCGAAAGAGGGGGAAACUCCUCGAGUAGAGUGGCGAACGGGUGAGUAACGCGUGAGGAACCUGCCUUCGACAGGGGGAUAACACUCCCAACGGGGUGCUAAUACCGCAUGAGACCACGGGGUCGCAUGGCCCUGAGGUCAAAGAUGGCCUCUAUUUAUAAGCUAUCGGUCGAAGAUGGACUCGCGUCCCAUUAGCUAGUUGGCGGUGUAAUGGACCACCAAGGCGACGAUGGGUAGCUGGUCUGAGAGGAUGGUCAGCCACACUGGGACUGAGAUACGGCCCAGACUCCUACGGGAGGCAGCAGUCGAGAGGCUUCGGCAAUGGGGGAAACCCUGACCGAGCGACGCCGCGUGAGGGAUGAAGGCCCUUGGGUUGUAAACCUCUUUUGUUCGGGAAGAAAUGCGAUCAGGUGAAUAAUCUGGUCGCUUGACGGUACCGGACGAAUAAGCUCCGGCUAACUCCGUGCCAGCAGCCGCGGUAACACGGGGGGAGCAAGCGUUGUUCGGAAUCACUGGGCGUAAAGGGCGUGUAGGCGGUCAAGUAAGUGGAAUGUGAAAUGCCCCGGCUCACCCGGGGACCGGCAUCCCAAACUGCUUGGCUUGAGUAUGGGAGAGGAUGAGGGAAUUCCUGGUGUAGCGGUGAAAUGCGUAGAUAUCAGGAGGAACACCGGUGGCGAAGGCGCUCAUCUGGCCCAAUACUGACGCUGAGGCGCGAAAGCUAGGGGAGCAAACGGGAUUAGAUACCCCGGUAGUCCUAGCCGUAAACGGUGAUCACUAGGUGUUGGAGGCAUCGACCCCUCCAGUGCCGCAGCUAACGCAUUAAGUGAUCCGCCUG